rnacentral:rRNA from 1 species
UACGGGGGGAGCAAGCGUUGUUCGGAUUUACUGGGCGUAAAGGGCGCGUAGGCGGCCAGCACAAGUCAGUUGUGAAAUCUCCGAGCUUAACUCGGAAAGGUCAACUGAUACUGUGCAGCUAGAGUGCGGAAGGGGCAACUGGAAUUCUUGGUGUAGCGGUGAAAUGCGUAGAUAUCAGGAGGAACACCUGCGGUGUAGACGGCUUACUGGACCAUAACUGACGCUGAGGCACGAAAGCGUGGGUAGCAAACAGG